rnacentral:rRNA from 1 species
UACGUAGGGGGCAAGCGUUGUCCGGAAUCAUUGGGCGUAAAGAGCGUGUAGGCGGCCAGAAAAGUCCGCUGUGAAAACUCGAGGCUCAACUUCGAGCUGUCGGUGGAAACUUUCUGGCUAGAGUCCGGAAGAGGAGAAUGGAAUUCCCGGUGUAGCGGUGAAAUGCGCAGAUAUCGGGAGGAACACCGGUGGCGAAGGCGGUUCUCUGGGCCUUACCUGACGCUGAGGUGCGAAAGCGUGGGGAGCAAACAGG